rnacentral:lncRNA from 1 species
CCACUACUCUCUGCAACAAACUCCUCCUGACUCUGGGCGGCCCGCUGCCAGAUGGUUACAGACAUCGCUAUCAGUUUGUUGCCCCCUCCGCCUAUAAAAGGGGGGACCCCAGAUACAUUAUUCUCUAAGCUCUAUUUUCUAUCCCAAAACUCUGCUAAAAUUUUUGUUCGAGCACUCCAUUCUUGUUGAGGCAGAGAACUGACUUGAGCAUCGGAGGAUCUUGCCGG